CUCUCAGUUCCGCCGCUCAUUCGCCUCUCCCGAAGAUAAAAGCCGAUAAGACAGUGGAGUGCGAAAAUUUCAUAAACCUUUGGCGUAACACUAACAUAAUGAUGAAUGUGGGUGAACUCCGUGACACAGAGGAAGAGAAGAUCAAGAGAAAGAGAGGAAGAGGGAGAGAGAGAAAGAUGUGCAAUCGCCGGCAAAAGCUUGAGUUGUUUGUAAACAAUGGGGCACUUUCUUUAAAGCUGGCAAUGCUGCACUCUUUAAUUUGGCGCGCAAUUUGGAGUAAUUUAAAAUGCUUGUUUCCCACUGAAACAUAUUUGUAAUUGUCUCCAUAUAUCAAGAGAUAUUUAUGAAAUACCAACAAUCAUCUUGUCCAUAUACUUGGGGUCUACAGUUAAGUUAACUUACGGCAUUUAUUGCCUUUUCUUUAUAUUUGGGAAAAUGGUUUUAAAAUAGUAACAUGUGUUGAGUAUGAAAAAAAUAAAAAUAUCUGAUGCUAUCUUUUAAGUUAUAGAAACACAUAAA